CCUACGGGUGGCAGCAGUGGGGAAUAUUGGACAAUGGGCGAAAGCCUGAUCCAGCCAUGCCGCGUGUGUGAAGAAGGCCUUCGGGUUGUAAAGCACUUUCAGUGGGGAAGAAAGCCUUGGGGCUAAUACCCUCGAGGAAGGACAUCACCCACAGAAGAAGCACCGGCUAACUCCGUGCCAGCAGCCGCGGUAAUACGGAGGGUGCGAGCGUUAAUCGGAAUUACUGGGCGUAAAGCGCGCGUAGGCGGUCUGAUAAGCCGGUUGUGAAAGCCCCGGGCUCAACCUGGGAACGGCAUCCGGAACUGUCAGGCUAGAGUGCAGGAGAGGAAGGUAGAAUUCCCGGUGUAGCGGUGAAAUGCGUAGAGAUCGGGAGGAAUACCAGUGGCGAAGGCGGCCUUCUGGACUGACACCGACGCUGAGGUGCGAAAGCGUGGGUAGCAAACAGGAUUAGAUACCCCGGUAGUC
rnacentral:rRNA from 1 species